AGCCUCCAUGUAGUUGCUGAAAGCUGGACGUGAUGUGCCUGGUACAAAGAACUGUGGUAUUUGGUGUUAGCAACAUAGUGGUGAGCUGGGGCAGGAUGGCUAGCGGAGGCUGGAGUUGGGUAUUGACCUUAUCCCACCUGGAAGACUUCUCCCAGUAGAGGAACUUGAAGAAAAAGGAGGAAUCAAGUGAGCAACAAGGAAGGCUCAAAUGAGGACCAAGAAAAUCCAGUUGUUCAGUACUUAUUGAAUUCCUACUAUGUGCAGUGUUCCGGGAAUACAAGAAUGAACAGAGCAGAAGGCCUGCCCUCAUAGAACUUAACAUUCUGUGGGGAGGUAAGGGAUAAGCCAACGACAUAUAUGAGGUCAGUGCUGAAGGCCAGGCAGAGAAGUGAAGCAGCCUGAGGAACCAGAA